rnacentral:rRNA from 1 species
AUUGAACGCUGGCGGCAUGCCUUACACAUGCAAGUCGAACGGCAGCGCGGGAGCAAUCCUGGCGGCGAGUGGCGAACGGGUGAGUAAUUCACCGGAACGUGACCAAUCGUGGGGGAUAACGCAGCGAAAGCAGUCCUAAUAUCGCAUCCGAUCUACGGUUGAAAGCCGGGGAUCGCAAGACCAUGAGCGAAUUGAGCGGCCGAUGGCAGAUUAGGUAGUUGGUAAGGUAAAGGCUUACCAAGCCUGCGAUCUGUAGCUGGUCUGAGAGGACGACCAGCCACACUGGAACUGAGACACGGCCCAGACUCCUACGGGAGGCAGCAGUAGGGAAUUUUGGACAAUGGGCGAAAGCCUGAUCCAGCCAUGCCGCGUGAAGGAUGAAGGUCUUCGGGUUGUAAACUGCUUUUGUACGGAACGAAACGGUCUUUUCUAAUAAAGAAGGCUAAUGACGGUACCGUAAGAAUAAGCACCGGCUAACUACGUG